rnacentral:rRNA from 1 species
CGGUAGCAAUACGUCAGCGGCAGACGGGUGAGUAACGCGUGGGAACGUACCUUUUGGUUCGGAACAACACAGGGAAACUUGUGCUAAUACCGGAUAAGCCCUUACGGGGAAAGAUUUAUCGCCGAAAGAUCGGUCCGCGUCUGAUUAGCUAGUUGGUGAGGUAACGGCUCACCAAGGCGACGAUCAGUAGCUGGUCUGAGAGGACGGCCAGCCACACUGGGACUGAGACACGGCCCAG